rnacentral:rRNA from 1 species
GUCCAGACUCCUACGGGAGGCAGCAGUGGGGAAUAUUGCACAAUGGGGGAAACCCUGAUGCAGCGACGCCGCGUGAGCGAUGAAGUAUUUCGGUAUGUAAAGCUCUAUCAGCAGGGAAGAAGAUGACGGUACCUGACUAAGAAGCCCCGGCUAACUACGUGCCAGCAGCCGCGGUAAUACGUAGGGGGCAAGCGUUAUCCGGAUUUACUGGGUGUAAAGGGAGCGUAGACGGCGGCGCAAGCCAGAUGUGAAAGCCCGGGGCUCAACUCCGGGACUGCAUUUGGAACUGUGUGGCUGGAGUGUCGGAGAGGCAGGCGGAAUUCCUAGUGUAGCGGUGAAAUGCGUAGAUAUUAGGAGGAACACCAGUGGCGAAGGCGGCCUGCUGGACGAUGACUGACGUUGAGGCUCGAAAGCGUGGGGAGCAAACAGGAUUAGAUACCCUAGUAC